GACGAACCGUGCGAACGUUAUUCGGAAUCACUGGGCUUAAAGGGCGCGUAGGCGGGUUGCCAAGUCUGUGGUGAAAUCCUCCAGCUUAACUGGAGAACGGCCGUGGAUACUGGCGACCUCGAGGGGGGUAGGGGCUUGCGGAACUGUGCGUGGAGCGGUGAAAUGCGUAGAUAUCGUUUGGAACGCCAAAGGUGAAAACAGACAGCUGGGAGUGUGCUGACGCUGAGACACGAAAGCCAGGGGAGCGAACGGG
rnacentral:rRNA from 1 species